GGCAAAUUAACAGGAGCAUAGAGCCGGGCACCUGUUAAGCCCUUAGUAAAUACUCCUUGGGUGACAGAAAGGAAAGAAGAGAGAAGGAUGGAAGGCCGGUGGAGAGCAAGUGGCAGCAAACGUCAUGGAGUACCUUCUACAUACAGAGAAAUGCAGCAUUGAGCAAAGCGGACAGUCAUCAUAGCCUCAGCAAGCAUGGAUUCCAGUGGGAGGAGAGCUUGGCCGUAAAAGCAUGUGUUUCUCUCAAGCAAAGGAUGAUAGAGGAUGAAGAGCCCAGACAGCCUCUGUCUAGCCUAAUAUUUUGGGGGAAGGUGACAGAAGAGAUCGGGAAAACCAACACAGAGGAAAUGUUUUUUUAAUUAUCUGCGACACUCAGUAAAACAAAAAUAAAGGUA